UGGGGAAUAUUGCACAAUGGGCGCAAGCCUGAUGCAGCAACGCCGCGUGAACGAUGAAGGUCUUCGGAUCGUAAAGUUCUGUUGCAGGGGAAGAUAAUGACGGUACCCUGUGAGGAAGCCCCGGCUAACUACGUGCCAGCAGCCGCGGUAAUACGUAGGGGGCUAGCGUUAUCCGGAUUUACUGGGCGUAAAGGGUUCGCAGGCGGCAUGGCAAGUCCGAUGUAAAAGGCGAAGGCUCAACCUUCGUAAGCAUCGGAAACUGUCAAGCUUGAGUGAAGGAGAGGCAAGUGGAAUUCCUAGUGUAGCGGUGGAAUGCGUAGAUAUUAGGAGGAAUACCGGUGGCGAAGGCGACUUGCUGGACUUCAACUGACGCUGAGGAACGACAGCGUGGGUAGCAAACCGG
rnacentral:rRNA from 1 species